GUGUCAGCCGCCGCGGUAAUACGUAUGUCCCGAGCGUUAUCCGGAUUUAUUGGGCGUAAAGCGAGCGCAGACGGUUGCUUAAGUCUGAAGUGAAAGCCCACAGCUCAACUGUGGAAUGGCUUUGGAAACUGGGCAACUUGAGUGCAGUGGAGGUAAGUGGAACUCCAUGUGUAGCGGUGGAAUGCGUAGAUAUAUGGAAGAACACCAGUGGCGAAGGCGGCUUACUGGACUGUAACUGACGUUGAGGCUCGAAAGUGUGGGUAGCGAACAGGAUUAGAUACCCUGGUAGUCCACACCGUAAACGAUGGAUACUAGUUGUUAGAGGGUUUCCGCCCUUUAGUGACGAAGCAAACGCAUUAAGCACUCCGCCUGGGGAGUACGACCGCAAGGUUGAAACUCAAAUAAAUUGACGG
rnacentral:rRNA from 1 species